ANNCCNNAUCCAGCAAUGCCGCGUGUGUGAAGAAGGCCUUAGGGUUGUAAAGCACUUUCAGUGGGGAGGAGGGNUGAUAGGUUAAGAGCUAAUUAUCUGGACGUUACCCACAGAAGAAGCACCGGCUAACUCCG
rnacentral:rRNA from 1 species